rnacentral:rRNA from 1 species
CCUACGGGAGGCAGCAGUGAGGAAUAUUGGUCAAUGGACGAGAGUCUGAACCAGCCAAGUAGCGUGAAGGAUGACUGCCCUAUGGGUUGUAAACUUCUUUUAUAUGGGAAUAAAAUGUUCCACGUGUGGGAUUUUGUAUGUACCAUAUGAAUAAGGAUCGGCUAACUCCGUGCCAGCAGCCGCGGUAAUACGGAGGAUCCGAGCGGUAUCCGGAUUUAUUGGGUUUAAAGGGAGCGUAGGUGGAUUGUUAAGUCAGUUGUGAAAGUUUGCGGCUCAACCGUAAAAUUGCAGUUGAAACUGGCAGUCUUGAGUACAGUAGAGGUGGGCGGAAUUCGUGGUGUAGCGGUGAAAUGCUUAGAUAUCACGCAGAACUCCGAUUGCGAAGGCAGUUCACUGGACUGCAACUGACACUGAGGCUCGAAAGUGUGGGUAUCAAACAGGAUUAGAUACCCCUGUAGUC